UCAGUAAAAUCCUUGAAUUUGUUGCAUGUUUUGCUAUUAUUUUUUUGUCAGUAGUUAACAAUGCUAAUAAUACCAUUAUGAGGCAAUGUAAGACUUAAUGUUAUGUUCAGAAAUGUGUAAGCCUAAUAGCAUAUUUGUUAACAUUUACAAAAUGUAUGCCAAAAUGUUGUUUAAAUAAAAAUACUUUUAGUUUUACCACCGUCCAUACCUGAAGUUUUUGCCGCUGUUUGUCGUCUCCAAACUCGCGCGCAUGGGCAUCAUUACUUCCGGGCAAAGCACAGGCAGCUGGCGUGACUGGACCAACAUGUAAAAAAUGUCUACAGCCCAGUCAGCUGCCCGUGAUUUGCAUCACGUUCAUGCGCUCGAGUUUGGAGACGACCAGAAGGCGCCAAAGCGUAUCUUUAGUUUGCAGGUGUACAAUGAAAUUAAACUGGACGUGGAUGCAGGUCAUGAAUUCAUAUCAGCAAGAUAUUGGGGAUCUGCAGCUCAGUGAUCCAUCACCCUCGUAUUUGUGUGUUAGAACAUUACAGCGAGCGGACCAGAGUGUCGCUGGUUUAAAUCCCAAGUCUGAUGGGAAACUAAUUGAGUGUGAUUCUAGCCAAGCUCCAUGGCAACCCUAUAACACCCAGCAGACCUCCACGCCACCACUGUCCCCACCACCCAAUAAUCCCCUCAUGGUCUGUCUCCAUCCUAAAACAAGUGGAGAAGUUCCACAGUGACAGGUUUACAGUCAUCAAAGCACAUAUGUAACCUCUCUACUCUCCAGGGUCUGAGAAUACCUUGUUUUUUUUACAGCCACAGGCAAUAGAGAGCUUAUCUUAAAAAAGGGUAUCUCACAACCUUUAUGUCCAUGUGGACAGUAUCAGAUAUGCAUAAUCUAUAUUAUAUUACCUCCAAUCUACAUUAUAUGACCCUUUGUUUAAACUGUGAUGUUCUUGUCUACUCAUCUUAUGUACUAUGUCAUGUUUUAAUGUUUUGUGUGGAUCCCCAGAAAGUGUAGCUGGUGCUUUAGCCGUAGCUAAUGGGGGAUGCCAAAAUAAAUGUUGUUAGAUUGGGUUGGGUUUGUAGCCAGUAAACAAAGGAUGUGUUUUUGAUUUAGAUUUCUCAGUUUUUCUAGACUGACAAGAUAUUGAGAUGUUGAAAGAGGACGUGGGUCCAUGCAUCCCAACUGUACAGUUUGGACUUCGGCAAUCCUCAAAAAACGCUUAGGCGGCACGCCCAAGGAUUUCAAUGGCAGAGAAAUCCCAGUGUAUGUGUGCGUGCCUGUAUAUGUGCGUGCUUGCUGUACUCGUGAAGGUUUGUGGUGGCCUGUUAUCUGAGGCGUGGCGUGUUGGAGCACUAUGAUGGAAUAUGAUGGAAUACGCAGAAUGGUCGGCCUGCCAGUCUCAAGGUUCUCCUCUCCAGAGCUGAUGGCCUUUAGAACUCCCUGUGACCUUAGACAGGAAACCCAGUUUCUACUCUACAUCCUAAUCCCCCUGUGACUCCAAACCACUGGAUUACCUCAUUCCUCAUCAGUCAGUCCGUCUCACGGUGGUAAUCUCAGUCUUUCCUGCUUACGUCCAUAUCAUUGUUUAAAUGUAAUGUAUUGAGAGAGUAUUAAAGGCAUUUUAAAAAA